UCCAAUGGUGGGCUGGUUAAGGGAUCGAAAGAUCGCCGUUUUCUCGUAAGUACGGUACGCCAACCUUGAUCAGUUCACCACCAAC
rnacentral:antisense_RNA from 1 species